rnacentral:lncRNA from 1 species
CCUGCAGUACCUGGUCUUGACCUGUGGUGUAUGUGAGACAGCAAGAGUGAGCUCACAUACGUUCAUCGCUCAACAAGUUGUGGGGAAUAAUGUGCAUGAACUCGCCAAAGGUGGGAGCUCACGUGAAGUGUAAGGCUUACCAAAGAGGAUGGUUAGAGCUGAGCAUUGCUUUUAAAGUUGGUCAAAAUUUUAUUAGCAAUUACUAAGUAUAAGUAAAUACCAACCCAAUUAAAUAGUAGAACAAAAGUAACAAACUCACCUGCGAUGCAAUGCAUAUGACAAAUUGAGUUUAAGUUCCAUAAUUUAAUCAUGUGAGUGUCCGAGCCGCUCAUGACCGUGAGCACGGCUAGUAUACCAGUUUUACACUCUGCAGAGGUUGCGCAUCUUUACCCACAAGUCAUGUUACCCAUCUGCCAAGGGAUCGCGACUUCCCAUACACCUCUACCGAGGAGGCGAGGCAGGAUAACACUACGAGGCCUUUACAAAGUUCCACUAGCUUCAGAAAACCCGCUACAGUUUAUAGGAAGCUCCAAUGCAGGAAUCCCUUGCAGGACCGCCAUCACAGCAAAAUCCUCCCGAGGGCCUCCCCAGGAAUCCCUUGCAGGACCGCCAUCACAGCAAAAUCCUCCCGAGGGCCUUCCCAGGAAUCCCUUGCAGGACCGCCAUCACAGCAAAAUCCUCCCGAGGGCCUCCCUACACUGACCACUCCCCUACUGCCCUUGCCCCUUUCGGGUAAGGUAGUCUUCCACUAGCUUUCCUAAUUAAUCGGCCAAGGGCGUCCCAUUAAACCCUUGUGGUAGCACUGUUUUCCCGGGUGGUUCUCCAUGUUCCAAUUAACAUAAUGAUCUUAUCAUGAACAGUGAUAAUAAACAGAUAAUAAAAGUGUGAUCAUGAAUAAUGUAUCUUCAUACCCAAAACCACAUAAAGCACUAGCAAGUACUACCCAAAAAGUUCAGUGGUAAACAAGGUAUAAAGAUAGACAAACUAGGGUAACCUAUUGGGUCCCAUCAAAUUAACCUAUGCAGAUCAUUAUGAUUAAUUAGAACAUGAGUGGGUAAAAAGAAGUGAUCAAGGGCACAACUUGCCUGAGACUUGAGAUUCCAGGUACCAGGAUGAUCUUCAGGUGACUCGUGACCUCACGCUAGUCGUAGCAAUACAAACAAAUAUGGUAUAGGCAAAAUUAACAUCACACCAAACAUAAGAAUAAACUGAGUAAUAAUAAUCUAUGCGUUGCUACGAGAUUGUAGGACCAAGAUUCACUAAAUUUGGAGUUAUAGUUAUUUAGUUAUUAAUUUCUGAAGUUAUUAAGCACCUAGAACAGAUUAAUUCAAAUGAACAAUUUUGCUUCAAGUUUCAUGGCCAAACAGUGUUACUAGUUGAUAUACAAUAUUAAAAUAAAAUUAUUGCAACUGGAAUGACUCAAUUUGGAGUUAAAAUGGAUUACAUAUGAAUUAUACAAGUUUUAAGAUUUAUUUUUAUACUAAAAAUCAAUUUCUAAUAUUAAUUAUCUAGUUUCUCUGUUAUUUGGACUGCGCGCAGGAUUUCAGAAAAGUGCAGGGUCUAAUUCAAAAGACUCUCUAGGCUCAGGCUACAACUGAGGUGGAUUGCGGGUUCAAUAGUUUGAAGUGGAGGGUCUCUUUAAGAAAAUACACGGCCGAAGGGGUACGGAGUGCUAGCGGUCGUCCGAUCAGGCGCGGAUGGCCCAGAUUAGAUUGGCAUUGAAAUGAAGCGGUAUGCGAUCACGCCCCUCGGAUUGCAGAUCAACGCUUCGGAUUUAAAGUGGCGAGGGACAUUCCCGCACGCAGGAUCAAGAUCCCGCGGUCACGCUGGAUCCGAUCGGACGACCCAGAAUGAUCCCCCAAAGGGGGUAAGCGCGCUCCAAUCGUGGCCACCCGAUAAAGAUCGGACGGCCAGGAGCCGUUCUCCUUCCUCGAGCACCCCCAAAUCUCAACGACGCGCUCACCGCGGCGGAGCGCCAUGUCCAGAGCUCCCCAGCAAUACGCCCAGGCGUUAAAUUCUCGAUUCCCUAGCGCUACGCGUAGAGGAGGUCAAGGCGAAUCCGUUGGUGGGCUUAUUACCUUGGUAUGAUGCGGCGAUGGUCUCCGCUCGCGCGAUGGUGCGGCACCACGGCCAAUCCCCGCGACGGCGACAAAAUCGCGCGCACCCCGGACGAGUUCUUUGCCCGCCAAUGGCUCCUACACCAUCAACGAGCGCGGGCGAACCAGAUGAUGGCCUCCAAUGGCAGAUGCCGGCAAGGUUCUAUGGUGGCGGCCGCGCUCUUCCCUUUUCCUACCUCUCUCUGCUCUCGUCGCUCCUCACAGUUAUGACGACCGCCCAGCUAGGAUGAUGAGGGGGGGCUCGCGGGGCCGAGGAAGUUAUAACUAGCAUCAAGUCCGCGAUGGGGAUUUGGCCGGAAUCGCGCGAAGCCCACGGCGGCGGAGUUGCCGCGAUUCUGUUGGGAUCCGAAGGGGGACGCUGAAGCUGACAGAGUGGGGUCCAUGCGUCGGUGAUACAAGCCAAUUUCGCGCGCGCGCUUACUCCAGUUGGAGCCACCGCCAUGUGGGACCCGCAGCCAGAGGCAGGGCGUGAUGGGUUACGCAAGCUGGCUGGCAAGCGGGCCCGCGGCGCAGCGUCCGACCACACGCGCGCGAUGCACCAGAAGCGGAGUAACGAUGACUGACGAGGUGGCCCCGCCUGCCAGUGAAGUGAGCGCGAGGGGAAAAGGGAGCCAGUGUCUGGGCCGGCUGGAUGGGCCACGCAGUAGAGAAGAUGAACUGGGCCAGAAGUGAGGUUGGACGGCCCAUGUAGGGUUUUAAUCCUUUUCUUUUUAUUUUCUUUUCCAUUCCAAUUAUUCAACUCAAUUCAAAAUUUGGUUUUGCAUUCCAGAUUUCAAAUAUCGAACAAAAGUCUACAUGAAUUAUACUUUUACUGUCUGAAUUAAUAUUAUUUAUUAUUGUUAUCUUAUAAUGUAUAUUCUUUUUAUUUUUCUUCUCUUUUCUCUUUUAUUUCCAAAUUCUAAAUUUUCCAACUUAAACUUGUCUCACAAAUUCGAAUACAAAUGUAAACUUAUAAGAAAACUUCAUGGAAUGCACAUUUAUGUAUCUAUUUUAUUUGUUAUUUACAUAAUUUAAUGCCAUUAGUUGAGUAUGUAGAGAAAAUCAAGGGAUCCCUGAAACAUCCACUUAUAAAUUUACUUAUUUAUUCAUUUUUUUUUUCCUUCAAAUUUUGGGCUUUACAGCUCCUGAUGUAGUUUUAAGAGAAUCAAAGAAAUAUCACUCACCGAUUGAAAAGGUCAACCCUAUGCUCCAUCUCUUUCUCCGCCAAUCCAAACAUCUAUUGCAACGCAUAAAACGAAUGAUCUCAGAAACACUUCAAUUAAUAGUAAAAAACUGAAUGCAAUUGUUUACAUGUAGAAGAAACAACCAGAGGAAAAAGAUAGAAUAAAGCAUCCCAAGUAACAUAAGUUUGAAACUGAAUAUCAGAAAACUUUGGAGAUCAAUGGUCAUGAUAAUUGCUACAAAUCCUGCUUGUUCUUAUACAUCACCACUUGAAACCAUCAUCUGAAAAAAAAAUCCUGAGUGCCGCAGAAAUAAUGUUUUCUCUCUUGAAGAAUUGGACUAGUAUAAGCUGCGCAGUUAUUUGGUCAUAGUGCAAUGCUACUCGAUGGAAAGGCAGAUAUGAAAAAAGUAAAACAUUCUCUACUUUGUUCCCCUUUGAAAAACACCGAAAUCUACACGCAGUGCAUUAGUAUCAGGGUUUCCCAUGGAAGUCGUGCAAAAUUCACCUCCCCAAGCAUAAUUUAUUCCUUAUAAAAAAAUCAUGGUACAAAAACCAUAGGCUUGCUUUCCUCUUAGUUUAUUGCAGGGUGAGUGGGUGACAAAUCUAGGAAGCACAAGGUGAAGAAUAGAUCUUAAGUAUAAAUUUACUUGCUCAAACCAACUAAUUUGGCAUGUUUUUUUUUUUUCGUUCGAGCAAAAUAAGAAAAUCCUCGUUUCCUCAGAUCAACGUGUACAUCAAUGAUAUAAUUUUUACUCGGGCAAGUAAACUGCAGAGAAGGCGCACACCUGCUCCUUCUGCAUAUUGGUCGGCGCAGCACCAGCGGCCAUUGCUGCAGCUCACUUCAAGAAAGCGACAGAGCGCAAGCAAUCAGGGGAUCGGGUCAAUCUAAGAUCCAAGAAAAACGAGAGCCCAGAAGCCAACGAAGAUGAAAUAAGAACAGGGGCACGGUGGCGCUGACGGAUGCCGGCGGCGGAUCGCGGAACGGUAAGCACGACGACUGCAGAUCGAAGCGGACGCGAUGAGCUUUUGCGCGAAGAACUGCAAUGUGGCCAUGUGGGCCCGCAGUCCUUCACGGCCCAUAAAA